GUUUUUGAUGAUGUAGAUGAUGCAAAUCAUUUAAAAAAUUUGGCAGGAGAGUGUGAUUUGUACAGUGAGAAAAGUAGAAUCAUAGUAAGUAGCAGAGAUCAGCAAGUACUUAAAAAUGUUAGUUCAGAGGAAUGCAUAUACGAGGUUGAGAAACUAAUUGAUUUUGAAGAUCUUAAACUCUUUAGCUUGCAUGCGUUCAAGCAAAAUCAUCCCAAGAAAGGAUAUAUGGAGCUAUCAAAGCAGGCAAUAACUUAUGCUGGAGGCAAUCCAUUAGCU
rnacentral:misc_RNA from 1 species